CGUAGGGUGCGAGCGUUAAUCGGAAUUACUGGGCGUAAAGCGUGCGCAGGCGGUCGUGCAAGACAGGUGUGAAAUCCCCGGGCUUAACCUGGGAACUGCACUUGUGACUGCACGGCUGGAGUACGGCAGAGGGGGAUGGAAUUCCGCGUGUAGCAGUGAAAUGCGUAGAUAUGCGGAGGAACACCGAUGGCGAAGGCAGUCCCCUGGGCCUGUACUGACGCUCAUGCACGAAAGCGUGGGGAGCAAACAGGAUUAGAUACCCUGGUAGUCCACGCCCUAAACGAUGUCAACUGGUUGUUGGGAAGGUUUCUUCUCAGUAACGUAGCUAACGCGUGAAGUUGACCGCCUGGGGAGUACGGCCGCAAGGUUG
rnacentral:rRNA from 1 species